GUGCUUGAUUUGGCAGCAAAUAUAUGAAAAUUGGAAUGAUACACAAAGGAUUAGCAGGGCACCUGUGCAAGGAUGACACACAAAUUGGUGAAGCAUUCCAUAUUUUU
ensembl:snRNA U6 U6 spliceosomal RNA